rnacentral:rRNA from 1 species
UACGUAGGUGGCAAGCGUUGUCCGGAUUUACUGGGUGUAAAGGGCGUGUAGGCGGAGAUUCAAGUCAGGAGUGAAAUCUAUGGGCUUAACCCAUAAACUGCUUUUGAAACUGAACCCCUUGAGUAUCGGAGAGGCAGGCGGAAUUCCUAGUGUAGCGGUGAAAUGCGUAGAUAUUAGGAGGAGCACCAGUGGCGAAGGCGGCCUGCUGGACGGCAACUGACGCUGAGGCGCGGAAGCGUGGGGAGCAAAC